UUAUUUGCCAUUUGACAUCGUCAGCAUCCGACAACCACAUUUAAGCGUGAUGAAUUUGUAUCUAUUUAUUUUUGCCAUACUGUUUGUUGGUAUGCAUGCAAAAAGUAGUAACAUAAGUAGUUUUUGUGAAGUAUUUCAACAGUGUCCUUUGGUGGCAUCAAUUCCUGAAAUGAAAACAGAAAUAGAGGGUAAGACAUGAUUUUGUUUUAAAGGUAUAACAAUUUGCAAGCAUGCAACAAGUUUGUGAGGGAAGCAAUUUCUUGUUUUUUUAAAUGAAAUUUGAAAUAUAAAAUAUCAAAAAUCAUCUAUUUAUUAUAUAAAUAAACUCAUCAUAGAUACUUGGACUAAAAUUUAACACUUACGCCAGACGCGCGUUUCGUCUACAAAAGACUCAUCAGUGACGCUCGAAUCAAAAAAUGUUUAAAAGGCCAAAUAAAGUACGAAGUUGAAGAGCAUUGAGGACCAAAAAUUCCUAAAAGUUUUGCCAAAUACAGCUAAGGUAUUCUAUUCCUGAGGUAGAAAAGCAUUAAUAUUUCUAAAAAAAAUUAAAAUUAUCACAGUUAGAUUUAUGGAGUUUUGAAUGUCCCCUUUUUAUCCCCCGCCUUUUCUUUGAGACAUAGUAAUUUUUAUCCUCAUGCAACUUAAACUGUUUUGGUAUGAAUAUGUGAUGGUUGAUUCACGACGAAAGUAUUAAUUUAUAUAUAUUUUUGUCUGUUAAUAAAUGAAAAUUUUAAUCGUUCAUAACAAGUCAAAAAGAGGUGGCCCUUAUACUGGUGAACAGAAUUACUAUAUAAGAAUAUAAGAUCUUACUAUCUAAUGCUAAUGAAUAAAGUAGCAUUGUUGGUUUUCGUUGGAUAUUCAUACAAUAUGGAAUCGGGCCACACUUUCUAAGUAUGAUAUGUAGUCAAAUACUUAAUGUAAAAAACUAAGUUAGUAAAUUAAACCUUGAAUAGAAACCUAUAAAUUUUAUUAACUAUACUUACCAACCAAACACGAAAUUAAACAAUCAAGCAAAAAUAACCCCCAAAACAGGUGUAAUAAUUGUCAAGUUAAAUUAUUUAUCAAAUAAAUCGUUUAUUAAGUAUUUUCAAAUUUGAAGUUAACUUUUUGUUUAAACCAGUUCUUGUAUUACAAUAUCAUAAAAGCCAAAUAUGUAGAUUUUCUUAACAACGGUUGUCUUUUGUAAAGUGAUAUAGCAUAUGAACUUCCAAAGCUAGCAUAUGAAUUUUAUUAUAACUUAUUGGUUUUUUUUAUAAUUGCACAGGUCUUAAAGCUGAAGUCGAGAAACUUAAA
rnacentral:lncRNA from 1 species